UGGCGAACGGGUGAGUAACGCGUGAGUAACCUGCCCUGGAGUGGGGGACAACAGUUGGAAACGACUGCUAAUACCGCAUAAGCCCACGGUACCGCAUGGUACUGAGGGAAAAGGAUUUAUUCGCUUUAGGAUGGACUCGCGUCCAAUUAGCUAGUUGGUGAGGUAACGGCCCACCAAGGCGACGAUUGGUAGCCGGACUGAGAGGUUGAACGGCCACAUUGGGACUGAGACACGGCCCAGACUCCUACGGGAGGCAGCAGUGGGGGAUAUUGCACAAUGGGGGAAACCCUGAUGCAGCGACGCCGCGUGGAGGAAGAAGGUUUUCGGAUUGUAAACUCCUGUCGUUAGGGACGAUAAUGACGGUACCUAACAAGAAAGCACCGGCUAACUACGUGCCAGCAGCCGCGGUAAAACGUAGGGUGCAAGCGUUGUCCGGAAUUACUGGGUGUAAAGGGAGCGCAGGCGGGAAGACAAGUUGGAAGUGAAAACCAUGGGCUCAACCCAUGAAUUGCUUUCAAAACUGUUUUUCUUGAGUAGUGCAGAGGUAGAUGGAAUUCCCGGUGUAGCGGUGGAAUGCGUAGAUAUCGGGAGGAACACCAGUGGCGAAGGCGGUCUACUGGGCACCAACUGACGCUGAGGCUCGAAAGCAUGGGUAGCAAACAGGAUUAGAUACCCUGGUAGUCCAUGCCGUAAACGAUGAUUACUAGGUGUUGGGGGAUUGACCCCCUCAGUGCCGCAGUUAACACAAUAAGUAAUCCACCUGGGGAGUACGACCGCAAGGUUGAAACUCAAAGGAAUUGACGGGGGCCCGCACAAGCAGUGGAGUAUGUGGUUUAAUUCGAAGCAACGC
rnacentral:rRNA from 1 species